rnacentral:rRNA from 1 species
UACAGAGGUCCCAAGCGUUGUCCGGAAUUAUUGGGCGUAAAGAGCUCGUAGGCGGUCUGUUACGUCGGCUGUGAAAACCUGGGGCUCAACCCCGGGCCUGCAGCCGAUACGGGCAGACUAGAAUUCGGUAGGGGAGACUGGAAUUCCUGGUGUAGCGGUGAAAUGCGCAGAUAUCAGGAGGAACACCGGUGGCGAAGGCGGGUCUCUGGGCCGAUAUUGACGCUGAGGAGCGAAAGCGUGGGGAGCGAACAGG